rnacentral:rRNA from 1 species
AGGUCCCGCCUGCCCGGUGACUAUAUGUUUAACGGCCGCGGUAUUUUGACCGUGCGAAGGUAGCGUAAUCACUUGUCUUUUAAAUGGAGACCUGUAUGAAUGGCAUAACGAGGGCUUAACUGUCUCCUCUUUCCAGUCAAUGAAAUUGAUCUCCCCGUGCAGAAGCGGGGAUAAACACAUAAGACGAGAAGACCCUAUGGAGCUUUAGACACCAAGACAGAUCAUGUUAAAUACCCCUUGACAAAGGCCCGAACUUAAUGACCCCCUGUCCUAAUGUCUUCGGUUGGGGCGACCAUGGGGCAGCACAAAACCCCCAUGUGGACUGGGAGAACAAACCCAAAACCUUUUUCCCACACUCCCACAAGCAAGAGUUACAACUCUAACUAACAGAAGCUCUGACCUCUUACGAUCCGGCUCUCGCCGAUAAACGGACCAAGUUACCCUAGGGAGAACAGCGCAAUCCCCCUUUUUAAACCAAAUAAACAACGGGGUUUUUUACCACCGUGUUGUUUGCACGAGGCCCUUCAGGGGGGUCCCCCCGCUAAGAGGGGGUCCUUUUGUCCAUAAUUUUUCCGCCAAACUGUAAUUUUUUUCAAAACCGGGGGG